rnacentral:rRNA from 1 species
UUUUCCGGUUGAUCCUGCCGGACCCGACUGCUAUCGGAUUGAGAUUUAGCCAUGCGAGUGGAACGUCCCCCUGUUGCGGGGGGCGUCGCGUACGGCUCAGUAACACGUAGUCAACCUGCCCUGGAGACUCGAACAACCCCGGGAAACUGGGAUUAAUUCGGGAUAGGCCACCACAUCUGGAAGGAGUGAUGGCCCAAAGGGGCGCGGAGGCUUCUUCUUCGCGCUUGCUCCAGGAUGGGACUGCGGCCGAUCAGGCUGUUGGCGGUGUAAUGGACCACCAAACCUGUAACCGGUACGGGCUUUGAGAGAAGGAGCCCGGAGAUGGACACUGAGACAAGGGUCCAGGUCCUACGGGGCGCAGCAGGCGCCGGNNAACCUUCGCAAUGCGCGAAAGCGUGACGAGGUUAGUCCGAGUGGCCUCCGCUGAGGAGGUCUUUUGUUAGCUUGGUAAAAAGGCUAGAGAAUAAGGGGAGGGCAAGCCUGGUGUCAGCCGCCGCGGUAAUACCAGCUCCUCGAGUGGUCGGGGCGAUUAUUGGGCCUAAAGCAUCCGUAGCCGGUUCGGUAGGUCCCCUGGUAAAUCCAACGGGUCACCCGUGGCCCUCAGGGGAUUCCGCCGGACUAGGAGGCG